GUGACCUCGGAUCAGGCA
rnacentral:rRNA from 1 species